rnacentral:lncRNA from 1 species
GUGCCAUUGGCCAUUUCUUUCUGCUUCUUGUUGGGCCGUGGAGUGCUGGGCCUGGAGAACAAAAGUGAGGGUGAGGAGGGGUGGGAAAGACUGCAAGCUGGGAAGCGGGGAACCACAGGGUCAGACCCCUCACACCAGGUCAGUCACCCUCAUGGAAGGGGUGCAACGUAGCUUGGAGAGAAUCUGCAGCAACCAUUUUGUUUUGUUACUGUUCCUUUAGGUAGACUAAAACUUAAUGGAGGAUAAGAACAACCCCUUUCACAGGCAGAAAUUGUAUAUAUCAUGUCCUUUUUUCUGGUACUGAAGGAAGUCUUAGUCUAUUAUUCCUUUUGCAAGAAAUAUCAAAAAAUUACAAAUGCGUUUUAAAUAAUUUGACCAUUUCUGUGUAUCGGACUGCUAUUGGACUAGGCCUUGUUUUUUGAAAAGUAAUUAGAAAAACUCCCAUCUGUUCUAAAUUUCUGUGACUGGAGGUUUCCAAGAGGGAAAGGAUACAGAAUUCUUAUGACUUCAGGAUUAGGCAAAAACCCUAGAGAUCUGCCCCAACUGCCCCGCCCUGGGACGAAGUCUGUGCUGAUGGGUAGGGCACGGGUCAUGGGGCAGUUGGAGUAGGAUAUGGGAUAUGUCUGGGGGCCCAGAGCCCUGGCCUAUGAGCUGGGAGUCCAGGCUCAAGUACCCACACAGGCUCUAGCUUGCUUGUAAUUUGGGGUGUUUUAGUCCAUUUAUGUCUCCAUAAAGAAACACCCGAGGCUGGGUAAUUUGUAAAGAAAAGAGAUUUAUUUGGCUCAUGGUUCUGCAGGCUGUAAAAGAAGCUUGGCAUCUGCUUCUGAUGACGGCCUCAAGAAGCUUCUACUCACGACAGAAGGUAGAGGGGAGCAGGCAUCCCAUGGCAAGAGAGGAAGGAAAAGAGUGAGAGAGGAAGUGGUGCCAGACUGUCUUUUCAACAAUCAGUUCUCAGGGAAAUAAACAGAGUGCACACUCACUCAUUACCACGACGAAGGUACCACGCCAUUCACAAGGGAUCCACCCUCAAGACCCAAACACCUCCCACCGGGCCCCACUGCCAACACUGGGAAUCAAAUGUCAGCGUGAGAUUUGGAGAGAUCAAACAUCCAAACUUACCAGUGAGUAGAUCACCUCCCUGCACUGGGCUGCCAGGAGUCAAAUGCUGUAAAUGUGCCCCGCCUUCUUCCAGGCUAUUUGUAGCUCCAGGUGACAUAGAAAGUGUUUUGUUAACCACAAAGUGAUGCAUAUGUGUAAGGGGUAUUGAUGAUGAUGUUUCCAUAUUUGCACAGAAAACUGAAAUACUAAUGUCUUUCGUCAGAUAGGAUGGAAAUGAUGGAACGAAUAAAAUAGCAUUUUGACAAGCCAUACCCUGUUGACAAGAAAUCUUUAGAGUAAGGUCUUGAACUAUAUAGACUCCUAAACACAUACCAGUUUAGUGACGCACUAACUCCAAGAGCCUAUGACCAGCUCUGGAAACCAUUAGCAGAGCUACA